UACGGAGGGUGCAAGCGUUAUCCGGAUUUACUGGGUUUAAAGGGUGCGCAGGCGGAUAUGUAAGUCAGUGGUGAAAUCUCUAGGCUUAACCUGGAAAUUGCCGUUGAUACUAUAUAUCUUGAAUGCUGUGGAGGUAAGCGGAAUAUGUCAUGUAGCGGUGAAAUGCUUAGAUAUGACAUAGAACACCUAUUGCGAAGGCAGCUUACUACGCAGAUAUUGACACUCAUGCACGAAAGCGUGGGGAUCAAACAGG
rnacentral:rRNA from 1 species